rnacentral:lncRNA from 1 species
GAAAAUUUCUUAGAUGGGAAUCACUUCUCACAGUUUAAUAAUCCAUUUUAACCAAUAUGUUGAGUUCUGUUUGAUGUAGCUUAUUAAUUCUUUUUAUUAACCAAUUUGCUUUAUUUCUCCCUAACCAAUUUAUAUUGUGGCUUUUAACUUAAAUAAGUUGAAAUGAAGGUUCAAAAAAUUAAUGCUUGAAAACUUGCUCAAGAAGGACCAUUUAUUGUUUUGUUUUCUAGCUAAAUUUUAGAGAAAGCGGAAUCUAUGUGCUUUUUUUCUUUACAUUUUCAACCUUUCAAGUUAUUUCAGGACACCUUAGUUGAGAAGGAAACACUUUUUACUGGAGUCAAGAUAAAAUGAACGUCUGAAGCAGUGCUUCCCACGUCACGGUCAACUGAGGUCUCUUGGUGGCAAAGAAAAGCAAUGAAGAAAAGAUGAAAUGGACAGUCACCAAUAAUGCAAAGCAAAACAAUCACAUUCUCACAAUCACAGUCACUCCAAGUCUCCAACAUUGUUAGAAACUGACCACUGUCUUUCAUUUUCCUCACAAACUAAACAGCCCCAGUUGCCUGCAUCAUCUACCUCAAAAAUCCAUAAUUUUCUCUCAAACCAAACAGCCCCAGUUCGCCAAAAAAAAAAAUGAUUUUUAACACUACCCAAAUGCCAUCAACUAGGACCAUUGUAUCUGCAGCGGCCUCUACAACAGCUACAUUUAUGGUCAUUCGAUCCAUUGCUCGCGAUUACUUGCCUCGUGAGGUUCAAUCUUACUUUGCUUUGAAGCUCAGAGAUUUUUUUUUCAAGUUUUUCUAAUGAGUUAACCUUUGUCAUUGAUGAAUACGAUGAUGGCCUCAACCAAAACAAGCUCUUUAAAGCUGCAAAGAUUUAUCUUGAACCCAAAAUCCCUCCCAAUGUGAAGAGAAUCAAAAUCAAUUUGCCAAGGAAAGAAACUAAAAUUUCACUUUCUGUUGAGCAAAAUGAAGAGAUUUUUGAUGUCUUUAAUGGAGUUCACUUAAGAUGGAAGUUUGAGUCAAAACCAACCCCAUCUGAGGCCAUCAACAAAAGGUCAAUUACUAAAGGUUAUAGGGUUAAAGAUCAUGCUGCAUGCUUUGAGCUGAGCUUUCACAAGAAAAACAAAGACUUUGUUUUAGGUACUUACAUACCUCACGUCUUGAAGAAGUCUAAAGAAAUAAGCCAGAAAAAGAAAACUUUGAAGCUUUUUACUUUGGGGUCUCACAGAGGAAUGAUUGGUGAUAAAUCAAUAUGGCAAUCAGUGAAUCUUGAUCAUCCGGCAAAUUUUGAUACAUUGGCUAUGGAUUUUGAUAUGAAGAAGACGAUAAUGGAUGAUCUAGAGAGGUUUCUGCAGAGGAAGGAUUUUUAUCGAAGAGUAGGCAAGGCAUGGAAACGAGGGUAUUUACUGUUUGGUCCUCCAGGGACUGGCAAGUCAAGCUUGAUCGCGGCCAUGGCUAAUUAUCUCAAAUUUGAUAUCUAUGACUUGGAGUUGUCUAAUCUUCGGGGAAAUAAUGAUUUAAGGCAUAUACUGAUUGCCACAGAGAACAAGUCCAUUCUGGUUGUGGAGGACAUUGAUUGUUGCAUUGACCGGCAGGACAGGCUUUCGCGGGCAAGGGCUACAAAUCCUGGUGUUCUCAUACCAGGAUAUGAACAACAACAAAAUCAGGUAAUAUUAUCAUCCAACAUCUCUUUAUUUUAACUUAAUAAUUCUUAAUACUGUAAAAUGAUCAGUACCGUACGUGUUUCUAAUUGUCCAUAGUGAACCUGAUUCCCCUGGUAUAGCUAAGAUAAGCCAGUCCAUGUUUAACACCAGGAUAUAAGUUUGCAAAUCAGGAAAUUUGUUGUCAGUUAAUUUUUGUAUUCAUUUACAUGGUUUUUAUUGAGAGGUUUCUAGUGACAGUUCGCCCAUGUUAUGCCAAAUUUCAUCAAGUAAUGGGUUGGAUCUGUAAAAUGGCUAUGGCUGUUCUUAUCAACAGCAAAUCAUAUGUAUAUAAUCCCUGACUUGGCCACAUUUUUUUCCCUCCCUUUUUUCAGUAUGUUAUAACCUUAUCAGGAUUGUUAAACUUCACUGAUGGAUUGUGGUCAAGCUGUGGAGACGAGCGGAUCAUAAUAUUCACAACCAAUCAUAAAGACAGGCUUGACCCUGCUUUGUUGCGCCCCGGUCGUAUGGAUGUGCAUAUCCACAUGUCAUACUGCACUCCAUGUGGGUUCAAAAUGCUGGCCUCCAACUACCUUGGGAUCACAGAGCAUCCACUUUUCGUGGAGAUUGAAAAGCUGAUAGAGACAGCAACGGCGACGCCUGCGGAUGUAGCUGAGCAGCUGCUGAGGAAUGAGGUGCCUGAACUUGCACUAAGUGGCCUGAUUGAGUUUCUUGAGACUAAGAAGAGAGCUAAUGAUGAUAGUGAAGCCAAAGCAGCAGAGGAGAGAGGAGAGAGCUAGGCAAAAACUUCUCGAACGCUUUAAAAUGUAAUAAAUGAGACAGGCUAGAGAUUCAGUAGAUUUUAUGAGGCUUGCUAGAAGCAGUAGUUUAUGGAGUUUGCAGUACUUUUAUCUAUAACAUACAUACCGGGGCAGUUUAAUUUCCUUGAAAACUCACUUUUGGUGGCAGGGUUUUGCUUGGAAACCUGCUAUCAUUUCAUGGAUGAAAAUGAUAUUAUCUAUGACUUUAUAUAUCAAUGAAAAGUUUGGUUGGUGCAUCAUUAUGUAUGAAUAUGUCAAAGGAAUUAAUGAAGAAUAUAGUUAAAAUUUUGAUUUACAAAAGUUCAUAAUUAACCAUUUAAUUAUGACAAUUAAGCAGAACUGCAGAAGAGAAUUAAAUCUUAACUUCCCUAUUUGCCACUAAUUCAACGUGAUCUAUUUUGUUAACUACCAAUUUAUCCCAAUUGCAUGCUCUUCACCAACUACACAACAAACUCAUCUUUCAUCCUUUAGAUCAAAUAAAUCAAAAGUAAGUAACAGAUUGUGAUAAGUCAUAAGAUCACCGUUAGAUAAUUAAAGAAGUCAACACUAUUAAUGAAAUCUAAUCAUUUAACGGUGAUUAAACUGUAAGCUACUGUACUACAAAGUAUACUUUGAGUCGCCCGCCAAAAACCAAGAAAUCGGUAUUAAUAAAAAUAAUAAUAAUAAUUAAAAAAAAAAAAGAAGAAGAAGAAGAAGAGAGCCUCCUUUGUUCUUAAACUGAAAGAUUUCUUUUCAAGGUUCUCAAAUGAGUUAACCUUAGUCAUUGAAGAAUUUGAUGGUAGCAGCAUUAACCAAAACGAAACGAGCUCUUUAAAGCUGCAAAGCUUAAUCUUAAACCCAAAAUCCCAUCCCAUGUUUAAAGAAUCAAAAACAAUUUGCCAAACAAGGAGACCAAGAUUUCAUCGUCUAUUGAAAAAAAUGUAGAGAUUGUUGAUAUUUUUAAUGGGGUUCAAUUAAAAUGGAAGCUUGGUUCAAAACAAGUCCAAGAACAGGUGUUUGAGUCCGUGUUUCGUUUUGCUCGCAUUCAGAGCAAACCUGUUGGUAAAUCAGAAGUUAGAUUCUUUGAGCUGAGUUUUCACAAGAAGUAUAAACAAAUAGUCUUGGAUAGUUACAUACCUCAUGUGUUGAAGAAAUCUGAAGAAAUAAGUCAGGAAAAGAAAACUUUGAAGCUUUUUACAUUAAAGGAUAGAAAUUCGCUGAGAGGAUAUGUAUGGCACUCCGUGAAUCUUGGUCAUCCAGCCACGUUUGAUACAAUGGCUAUGGAUUUUGAUGUGAAGAAGAUGAUAAUGGAUGAUCUUGAGAUGUUUCUGAAGAUGAAAAACUUUUAUCGACGAGUAGGUAAGGCAUGGAAAUGCGGGUAUUUGUUGUUUGGUCCUCGAGGAAGGGGGAAGUCAAGCUUGAUUGCUGGCAUGGCUAAAUUCCUCAAUUUUGAUGUCUUUGACUUGGAGUUGUCUGCUCUUCUUAGGAGGAAUAUGGAGUUGAGGAAUUUGUUGAUUGCCACAGAGAACAAGUCCCUUCUUGUUGUGGAGGACAUUGAUUGUUCCAUUGAGUUGCAGAAUAGGCAUGCACAGGCACUGGCUGUGAAUCCUAUGGUUUCUAACAUGAAUUAUACGGCAAGACCAGGAAUUAAUCAAGGCCCUCCGGUAAUUAUUUCUUUCUUUAGCUGGAUGAAUCUGAUUACUCUUGGUUGAUUUGAUCUGGUAAGAAACUUAAUUCUAUAUUAGUGUUCACUAUCAUGUUUUUUAUUGUUAAAAAUAACUCGAGUCAAGUCUCUUGAUAGCUGCCCUAGUCUAUGUUUAAACCAUGAUACAAGUUGCGAACCAAGAAUUUGUUGUAGUAUUUCUGUGUCAGGUUACAUGAUCUUCAUUGAAAGUUUUUUUAGUGAUUUGUUACCGGCCAGACUCAGGGAGGUUUUAAACCCUGUGGCUGGACACCAGCAGCAAUAAAAACAUCCUUGUUCAAGGAUUAGAAAACGUUUGCACUGCUGGCAACUAGCUUGAAAUGGACAAUAUGAUGAAGAGCUGUAAAGCACCAUAAUUUUAUAUCUCUAAUUCUUAGAGAUGACCCGACAGGGAAAAAAGAGAGGCAAAAGGUCCCACUACGAUUUUUUAUGCAAGCCACAAUGCCACAUAGUCAUUGUAGGUCUUCUUAAAACCCUGCAUGUUCGUAAGUCAUAUAAGGCUGUCCUGUGAGAAAGAAUUCUCACUAAUAGUAGUCUCUCAAACGUGAUUGGAAAGCUCUCUUACAUAUUUUGCCUAUUCUCCUUUCAAUUUUUAAAGGCAUAGCAUAUAACAUUGUUUGAGCCCACAUUUAUGAUUUAUACUUGUGGGAUUUUGUUUGUGAGCAAUAAUGCUCAGACAAGAUUGUUCACCAGUCAAAGUUGUUAAAUUAUGCUUCACAGGACAAUGGUUGGACUUGUAAAAUGGCUUUUUCAUAUUUUCCUUUUUCAGUAGUACCUAUACAUGUAGAACCAGAUUACAUGAUUUCCUGUUUCAGGUGACCCGAUCAGGAUUGUUAAACUUCAUAGAUGGAUUAUGGUCAAGUUGUGGAGAUGAGCGGAUCAUAGUGUUCACAACCAAUCAAAAAGAAAAGCUUGACCUGCUUUGUUGAUCCUGGUCGUAUGGAUGUGCAUAUUCACAUGACCUAUUGUAAUCCAGGAGGUGGGUUCAAAAUGCUGGCCUCCAACUACCUUGGGAUCACAGAGCAUCCAUUCUUCUCAGAGAUUGAAGAGUUGAUAGAGAAAGUAAUCGUGACUCCUGCUGAUGUAGCUGAGCAACUGAUGCGGAGUGAGGUACUUGAAGUUACACUUAGAGACCUAAUUGAUUUUCUUUAGAUCAAGAAGAGAGAACAGUAUGAAAGUAAAGCCAAAAAAUUAAAAGAGGAGAGAGCAGGGGAAGCAGAAAUUGAAGGGAAAGUCAGUGGCACAAGUGGAAACAUGCCAAAGAUUAAGUAAAUUGUAGGGAAGUCUUCGAGAAGCAAUGUUUUGUGAUCAAAAUAGGGUACAUUUCAUUUCAGUAGUCAAAGAAAGUCUUACAUAGGAGGUUCAAAUAAAAUUAAAUCGGAGUCAAAAAUCAGACUUGAAUAUGUUCUAUUUUGCCAAUGAAUUCGAAUCAUCAGAUGAUUAAUGACCACCAUUUUAUUUUUUUUGGGUUUUGCAAGAGAUGCCUUUUAUAUUUUAUUCAGCUUAAAUAAUUCACAAAUUAUUUUAGGAUUCAUGGGUUGAAUAGAUUUGUAUCCCCAAGGUUAACAUUAUUAUAUUUAAUGUUUGUUCAGUAUAACUUAUCUAAUGGACGUUAGUGUUUAUUCAAUUAUAUAAACUUUUUUCAAAAUUUUCUGUAUUGUUUGGUUGCAUUUUGAGUAGAGCAUUUGGAGAUUAAAUAAGAUAUUUUGUUUUUACUGACAAUAAGCUCAAAUUUUAGACUUGUACGAAUAGAGAUUGCAAAAACCUUUUUAAAAGUUAAAUUAUCUUAAUUUAUUUAACAAUCUUAUUUUACUUGUAAUAUCCCAAAUCUCCUAAGAGUAUUUAAGUCUUUUUAAUUUUUAGUGAUCCUUUUUACCCUAAUAUAAAUAGAACAAUAUGUUUUUUUCAUUAUAAGAGAGAGAGGAAAAGAGGGAUCGGUUGAAAAAAAAAAGACAGAAAGAGAGAGAGAGAGAGAGAGAGAGAGAGAGAGAGAUGGAGACACAAGAGAGAAAAGAAAAGAAAAGAAAAAUAGAAGAAGAAAGUCUUCUUUUUCUUAGUUCUACCAUAGGCAGCACAUGGGAUCAAAUUGUUAUUGUUGGGAGAAGUUUUGGAGGUAAGUUUUAAUUAUUGGUUUCUAUUAAAUUGUUGUGGAGAAGCAUGAUUGCAAUAGAAGUAGAAACUUAAGAUUUUGCAGAAAUAUGCUGACAGUGAAUUAUUUCGAAAAUCAUAGUAAUUGGUACAAUUGAUUUUGAUUUUGAUUUUUGGAUAUGUUAAACUAGACAUCGACAAAUUGAUUUUAAUUCUGAUUUUUGGAUAUGUUAAACUAGACAUCGUCUACAAUGUUUUGAACCUUGUUUCAAGUUAAUCGGAUAAGAUUUCAAUUAAUUAUGAUUUUUCAAAGUCAAGUCCGAAAACCUGAAAAUUUAUGAUUUUAGUGAAUAACUUGAAUUACGAAAUUAUUUUUACCAUAGCUAGACUUCUCCAAAAAUUAUGAAAUUUGGACCAAUGAUUUUUAUAUAUGUCUAGUAUGAUUCUGUAAAUUUUCAUGAUUUUAUGAUAAAGAAAUACAUUGUUUUGUAUUUUUAAAGCAAGUGUGUUCAAAACAAAAAAUUGUUUGACAGUAUUGAUGAUGUCUGAAACGUCAAUUAUUUUCAACAGUUUUUGAAGGAACUAUGUUAUGAAAUUUUUAUCAAUGAACUUUCAACAUGUCAGCAUAUGGUCUGUAAAAUUUGAGAGUUUUCCAAUGAGGGAAUAAUUUAUUAAAGAUCGGAGAAUAUGGACUGUUCUGUUUUGAGGGCCGAUUAUUGAGAACAUUGAGGUUGAGCUUAGGAGAUGUUUAAAUUGAGAUAUUUGAGGACAUUAGAGUUUAUGAUUGAGACUCAAUUAUAUCUUAUGAGAAAUUUAUUGAUGAUUUUAGGUUGAUAAUAUUAGUACGCAUUUGUUACAUGAGGAUGCCAAGAGUCAAGUAAACUAGACUUUAAAACGAAUCACAAUAAACAAUAUAUAUGUUUGACUUGUAUAAAAAGUCUAUUUUGAUAUGUACGAAUAUAGAUUUAUAUGUCUCUGCUCAUGUGUUUAUGUGAUGUGUUGUUAUGUAUUGAGCGUGAUUAUGUACAUGGGCAUAUGUAUGUGUGAUGGUUCAUUGGCAUGAGCACGAAAAUGCAUUGAGUUUUCUAUGAAUGAGAAAGUGGAUUUUAACAAAUAAGAUUUAUGUUUUAUGAGAUUUUGCACUGGGGGCCACCUCUUGAAGUUGUGUGGAGACCACCUCUUGAGACUAUGCAGGGGCCAACUCUUGAGGGCCAAAGCGCCGCAAAGUGCCACGCAUGGUAUAAAGUGUCACGCACAGCACAAAGUGCCACAAUUGCAGAAUAUGUAUUUCAUUGAAAGAAAAUGAGAAAGUUUGAAAGCGACAGCAAGAGAUUUUUAUGAAUUUGUUUACAGUAUUUCCAAAAGAUCAUGGCAUAUCAUCCAUUUGCAUUAUGUAUAAGUAUGUAUGUAUUUUGGUAUAAGAAAAACUAGUUUGCUUACUGGGUCUUGUACUUAUUAUAGUUUAUUGUGAUUCAGUUUCCAGAAGUCAGGAUUGAUUUGUGAUAAGUGAGAAGAUGGAUUUGAAUUGAGGAUGGUAGCUGGUUUGGCUGAAUUUUUAAGUUAUUCAGCUGGCUUUUGUAUUUGAGGCUUGAAUUUUAUCGGUUGUAAAGAGUUAUUUAAAUUCAUAUGUGAGUUGUAGACAUAUUUGCCCUUGGAAUUCGAGCUGGGGUGUUACAUUACUUCUUUCAUAGCAUAAUUUUAAAAAAUUUAUCUAUUAAAGUGAUUUUUUUAAUUUUUUUUAAAAAAAUAGUUCUCAUCAAUAACUAAAAAAAUUCAAAUUUUCUUUUUUUUCGAGAGAAAGUCUCUACUUCUAAAAGUCCUACAAUUUCUAGAAAGUCUCUACUUCUAAAAGUCCUACAAAUAUAAGGCCAUCUGUCACAACCAUAAUAUAUGCUACAGCUUCUGCCGCGUCCACGGCUAUGGUUGUUGGACCCAUUGCUCAAGAGUACCUGCCUAAUGAGGUUAGAGGCUACUUAUGGGUACAACAUAAAACUCUUAUGGCAAGAUAUUCUAACGAGUGAACAUUAGUUAUAGAAGAAUGUGCUAAUGGCCUUGGCCAGAACAACCUCUUCAAAGCUGUAGAGCUUUAUCUUGAACCCAAAAUCCCGCUUGUCGCAGAAAAAAUUAAAGUCAUCUUGCCGAAUAUGGACACCAAGACUUCAUGCUCCCGCAGAGAUAAAUGAUGAGAUCGUUGAUAUCUUUAAUGGGAUUCAAUUAAAACGGAAGUUUCUUUCGAGACCAGACCCACGAGAGGUGGUUCGUAAUCCAGACCAAUACAAGGUUAAAGACAAGAACAAACUCUUCGAGCUGAGAUCUCACAAGAAGCAUAUGCAAAUAGUCUUGCAUGCUUACAUUCCUCAUGUAUUAAUUGAAUGUAUAUAAAGGAAUAAGCAAGCAAAAGAAGACUUUGAAGCUUUUUACUUUAAAGGACAGAAUGUACGGAGGGAGAGACUUAUGGCAAUCGGUGAAUCUUUGAUCAUCCAGCCACUUUCGAUACACUGGCAAUGGAUUCUAAUAUGAAGCACAUGAAAAUGGAUGAUCUUGAGAGGUUUGUGGAGAGGAAAGAGUUUUAUAGAAAUGUAGGCAAAGCAUGGAAACGCGGGUAUUUGUUAUACAGUCCUCCAAGAACAGGGAAGUCCAGUUUGAUUAUCUAAAUUUUGAUGUCUGUGACCUGGAGUUGACUACUUUCAGAGAUAAUGUGGAGUUAAGGAAUGUGUUGAUUGCCACAAAGAAUAAGUCCAUUCCUGCUGUGGAGGACAGUGAUUGUUCUAUUAAUUUGCAAGGCAAGCAUUCACAGGCAAAGUCUUUGAAUCCUGUGAACUCUAAUGCGAUCAAACCAGUAACUAAUGUCAAUCAAGAACCAAAAGUGACCUUAUCAGGAUUGCUAAACUUCAUAGAUGGAUUGUGUCGACCUGUGAAGAUGAGAGGAUCACAAUAUUCACAACUAAUCAUAAAGACAUACUUGACCCUGCAUUUAUUGUUGCACCGGGUUGCAUGGACAUGCACAUUCAUAUGUCCUACUGCACUCUAUGUGGGUUCAAAAUGCUGGCCUCAAACUACUUUUGUAAUGCCAAAUUCCAUCAUUUUAGAUUAUGGAAAUUCGGUUUUUAUUAGAAAACAUAUACGGCUAUAACACUUAUUAAUAAGGAUAUUAAAAUUAUAAAUAGAAUUACUUGUGGGAUAAAUUUUGGAAAAAGACUUAUUUUUUCAAAUUUAAUAGGGUUUCUUAAAACUUCCUAUAAAUUCAUAUUUUUCCCUCUUUCAUAACCCUAAGUCCACAACGUUUUCUUUUUUUUCUCUACUACUCAUCACGCUCUUAUUCAUACCUUAUAAUUCAAACUUUUGUUUAGGAGAGAAUCAUAAUGGUUGAUAAGUUUACUCUUCCUAUUUUCCACAAGUUUUGAUAUCACUCUAUUCAGGGUUUUUAUUGGCAUGAUUUUAGAUUGCUACAGAUCAUAAUACAUGAUUUAGGAUGUGUUUAAGUUCUAUUUAAGACUCUGAUUUAUUGUUGAGUCUUGUUAAUCAAUCCUUGAUGCAUUGAGGAGAGUGAACAAAAAGAAACAGAGCAAAGAGCACUGCCAAUAGAAAGUAGUACUGAAGAAUAUGAUGAGGAAACCGAUUAUGGAGAAUCUAACAACGAGGAGUAAAUUUUAGUUAAAAUUGAGGACUCAUCUUAGUCAUUCGUACCAUCCACAUAACUGGAUAGUUUCUUUUAAUUGAAAUUAUCUAUGACUUGGUAUCUAUGAAAAUUAUAUUUUUGUGGCAAUUUGUUAUGACUUAUGAUCAUGCAUAACAAGAGGUAAAUUUUUGUGGUACAUUUUUGUAGAUCAAAAGCUAUAGUUGUUGAACUACAAUUGAAAACAUAGCUUCAGAUAAGAAAAUUAGGCACAUCAUAUUCCGGCAAAUAUCCUCAGCCAGCAGUCCAGCACAUAGGAACGUUGUAAAUGUGCACUCAAAAUGUCGUCAUAUCGAAAUUUUGAAGAGUUCAAUAAUUCUUUUUAAAAUUUUAGUUUAUGUCGACAUUACAAGAUGAGAAAAUAAAACGGCAUCUUAGGUGAAAAUUUUUGUUGUUCAUAAAUAAAAACGAAAGUAGAUAUAAGGAAUAUAAGAAAAUAGAAUUUCAUUAAAGUGAAAGUGAAACUAUUAAAACAUAUUUAAAAAAAAAUGAGGUGAUGAGAUCCUCACCAUUGGACCAACGAGUGGUUCGUUAAUUUAUUUUAAGUUGAAUUAUAAUUUCUCAAAACAAUACAAUCCUAAACCUUUUAUUCCUCAAUCAAACACACUAUUAGACAUAAUUUGCAUUUUUCUUUUGAAAUAUAUCCCUAACAUAGUAAUAUUAUGCAAUGUUAACUUGCACGAUGUUGUCGUUGUUAUUAUUAUCAUUAUUUUGCUUAUGCUAAAAGAAAAUUGCAUUAUUAUUAAAGAAAAUUUUUAAUAAGACAUAUUUCAUGUCACGUGAUAUUGAAAUAAAUUAGCUCAUCAAAUUAUAUAUAUAUAUAACAAAAACCAAAUUCAUAAUCUGGAGUUCUCUGCCUCUCUCUUUAUUUUCUCUGCCUCUCUCUCUCUCCCAAUCUAUAUAGUAGUUUUCUGGUUCAGGAUCAUAAAGUGUAGGAAAUUCUCAGGAAAACUUUAAAAUUGCGAAAUUUUAAAGGUUUAAAGCACUUAAACUACACGAUUUAUGCGUUUUUCCAUACGUUCCCGCACUUUAAAAUUCCAGAUUGGAUAUCCCAAGUUUAAGAAUUUGUGGUAUAUGUUAUUUUUACGAAGAGACAUUAAUAAUACAAAUUUAAUAGAAAUUUGAGUCAAAUAAAGGUAUAAGAAGAACCUAAUUAAUUCAAAAUCUAAAGGCUAGUGUAAUACCUAGCCAUACUUUAUCUAAUGAAAAUAUACUUUAGCAUGAAAGCUAUCACGGGAGAAAACCACGUAGAUAUAAAACUUUUAGACUCGUACACUUUGAUAUAAUUACACAAUGAUCAUAUAAUAUAGAUAGAUAGAUAUUUGGCUAGUCACUCUAAUUCUAAUUUUUGGGAAGGAGAGAAUUAUAAAAUUAAUUUGAACUUAUCCAUCAGAUCAACUUUUAAAAAACAUAAAUUAAAAUAUAAUGAUUAAUUUAGGCCAGUUUAUUCAUGUAAUUUUCCUAUUUAGUUUAGGAUUACUUGUUUAGGUGGCAUUUGUUUCCCUUAUCUAUUUAGGUCAUAGAGCCUAUAUAAAUAUGCAUAAAAAUUCUCAAGAGUAAUAAAACUUUAGAUAGUAUUUGUUUCCCUAACACUGUCCGAUUCAUCAAAGACAGGAGGAAGAAGAUUACGAAGAGAGGCGAAUCAAGAAAUGCUGAAGCGGGAGCAUAGGCUGUAGUGAGUGCCAUAAUAGUAAUACUAAGCCAGCUUCAAGGAUCAUAUAAUUGCAUAUCGUCUGCAAUUUUCUUUCUUGACAGUGAAGAAGCAAAGAGAACAACCAAAACCUCCUUUACCCUUUCAUCCCCUUCAAAUACUGUGCUUUUUCCCCCAAACCAAACAGUCCCACACCCACAAACAAGAGAAAAAAAAAUGUUUAUGUUUUAAAGUAAAUAAGUUGAAAUGAAGGUUCACAAAAUUAAUGCUUGAAAACUUGCUCAAGAAGGACCAUUUAUUGUUUUGUUUUCUAGCUAAAUUUUAGAGAAAGCGGAAUCUAUGUACUUUUUUUAUUUACAUUUUCAACCUUUCAAGUUAUUUCAGGACACCUUAAUUGAGAAGGAAACACUUUUUAGUGGAGUCAAGAUGAAAUGAACGUCUGAAGCAGUGCUUCCCACGUCACGGUCUACUGAGGUCUCUUGGUGACAAAGAAAAGCAAUGAAGAAAAGAUGAAAUGGACAGUAACCAAUAAUGCAAAGCAAAACAAACAGAUUCUCACAAUCACAGUCACUCCAAAUCUCCAACAUUG